UGCAGGAGCGAAGGUGGCAGAUAGCAGGAGUAAUCCAAGGCUUGGCAGGGAGCAAUUGGAAAAAUGAUAAGGGGGCUGGGGAUUUAAGAGAUGAGGACAGUGGAAAGUUAAAUCACCAAGAGAUCAAGAUAGAGAAAAGAGAAACCAUUGUAGGGGAGAUGGCUUCAAAGAGAACUGAAGGGUCAAGAGAUGAGAAGUUAUGGUGUGGACAAGUAGGUAUGGGAAGGAAAGCAGAGGGAGAGGUGGAAAUCUAAUGUCCAUAGUUAGGAGGACAAGUCACUCUUCUUUUCUUGACUUCAGUUCUCCUAUUUGUAAAAUAUGGUGGUUGGAAAAGCUGAUCCCUUAGAGUCCCUUCCAGCUCCAACAUUCCGAGUUUCCUUUUGCCCUACUGCUGUUCCUCCUGCACUGUUCCACAAAAUUGAAGCACUUUGAAUAAAGUCCCUUUUUUCUCACAAA